UACGGGGGGGGCAAGCGUUGUUCGGAAUUACUGGGCGUAAAGGGCUCGUAGGUGGCCAACUAAGUCAGACGUGAAAUCCCUCGGCUUAACCGGGGAACUGCGUCUGAUACUGGAUGGCUUGAGUUUGGGAGAGGGAUGCGGAAUUCCAGGUGUAGCGGUGAAGUGCGUAGAUAUCUGGAGGAACACCGGUGGCGAAGGCGGCAUCCUGGACCAACACUGACACUGAGGAGCGAAAGCCAGGGGAGCAAACGGG
rnacentral:rRNA from 1 species